rnacentral:rRNA from 1 species
AUUGAACGCUGGCGGCAUGCUUUACACAUGCAAGUCGAACGGCAGCGCGGAGAGCUUGCUCUCUGGCGGCGAGUGGCGAACGGGUGAGUAAUGCAUCGGAACGUGUCCUUAAGUGGGGAAUAACGCAUCGAAAGAUGUGCUAAUACCGCAUAUCUCUCAGGAGGAAAGCAGGGGAUCGCAAGACCUUGCGCUAAAGGAGCGGCCGAUGUCUGAUUAGUUAGUUGGUGGGGUAAAGGCCUACCAAGGCAACGAUCAGUAGCUGGUCUGAGAGGACGAUCAGCCACACUGGGACUGAGACACGGCCCAGACUCCUACGGGAGGCAGCAGUGAGGAAUAUUGGACAAUGGAUGGAAAUCUGAUCCAGCCAUGCCGCGUGCAGGAAGACAGCCCUAUGGGUUGUAAACUGCUUUUAUAUGGGAGCAAUAAGGUCUACGUGUAGACUGAUGAGAGUACCAUAUGAAUAAGCAUCGGCUAACUCCGUGCCAGCAGCCGCGGUAAUACGGAGGAUGCGAGCGUUAUCCGGWUKKRUUKKRUWWAARGGGUGCGUNAGGNCGGCCGNAGUNAANGUCNAGCNGGUGNAAAUUUUGCAGCUUAACNUGUAACNAGUGCCGUUGAUACUGCAUGGCUAGGANUUUGGUUGCUGUNGGGUGGNAAUGUGUGGUGUAGCGGUGNAAAUGCUUAGAUAUCACACAGAAUAUCGAUUGCGAAGGCAGCUCACAAAGCCAAGAUUGACGCUGAGGCACGAAAGUGUGGGGAUCAAACAGGAUUAGAUACCCUGGUAGUCCACACUGUNAAACGAUGAUAACUCACUGCCGGCGAUACACAGUCGGUGGCCAAGCGNAAAGCGAUAAGUUAUCCACCUGGGGAGUACGACCGCAAGGUUGAAACUCAAAGGAAUUGACNGGGGGCCCGCACAAGCGGANGGAACAUGUGGUUUAANUUCGNAUGAUACGCGAGGNAACCUUACCCGGGCUCGNAACGGUGCAUGAAUAAGCAAGARAUUGUUUAGUCCUUCGGGACAUGUAUCGAGGUGCUGUAUGGUUGUCGUCAGCUCGUGCCGUGAGGUGUCGGCUUAAGUGCCAUAACGAGCGCAACCCUUGUUGUUAGUUACCAACAGGUAAAGCUGGGGACUCUAACGAGACUGCCACCGUAAGGUGUGAGGAAGGGGGGGAUGACGUCAAAUCAGCACGGCCCUUAUGUCCGGGGCGACACACGUGUUACAAUGGGGGGUACAGAGGGCAGCCAUCCGGUGACGGAGCGCCAAUCUCCAAAACCCUUCUCAGUUCGGAUUGGAGUCUGCAACCCGACUCCAUGAAGUUGGAUUCGCUAGUAAUCGCGCAUCAGCCAUGGCGCGGUGAAUACGUUCCCGGGCCUUGUACACACCGCCCGUCAAGCCAUGGAAGCUUGGGGUGCCUGAAGUUCGUGACCGCGAGGAGCGACCUAGGGCAAAACAAGUAACUGGGGCU